UCCUGCCUUCCUGGAGCUUACAUUCCAGC
rnacentral:piRNA from 1 species